AGUAGUGUUUGGUCAGAGGUAAUAGAAUCACAAUUACCUUGGUGUUAGGUAAUAUUCAGAGGUAUAUAAAGUAUCUCUUAGAGAGCAGGAGCACCUUUUUCUACUUGGCAAUCAAAACAAGGUAAUAACGUGUGUGUGUAAUCAUGAAAGACGGAGAGCAACAAUAUGGGCUUGCUCGGGAGUCCUAAAUGUAAGUCCUUGCUGGACUUGAGUAAAAUUGAGUUAUGGCACCGGUGUAAUUCCAGCCCAUAUGCCCUUGCCAAUUACGUAGUGGGAUUUGUGCUUAUUUCCUUCCUCCUACAGCUACUUGCAGCUGAUCUAAUAAAACGUCGUCAUAGCUUAGCUCCUCUGUCCCAAAACAAUCUUCAAAUUUUCUGAAUUACAACGUUAAUUUUCGGUUUCUUUUAUUUUUACAUACCGGCGGAACAUAUUUUAUGCAUCACUAAUAUAUUAUGUUGUCUAUAUUAAUUCGAAUUUAGAAUGAUAUUCCGUAUCCAACUUCAGAAACUUGUAAAACAAAUAAUAAUGUAAAUUUUUUUAUCAAUGUUUAAUUCCAUCACUUAAUUUAUUUAUUGAAUAAAUGUAAAUACUAAUUUAA
rnacentral:lncRNA from 1 species